UACGGAGGAUGCGAGCGUUAUCCGGAUUUAUUGGGUUUAAAGGGUGCGUAGGCGGCGAGUUAAGUCAGCGGUAAAAGCCCGGGGCUCAACCCCGGCCCGCCGUCGGAACUGGGUGCCUUGAGUGGGCGAGAAGUAUGCGGAAUGCGUGGUGUAGCGGUGAAAUGCAUAGAUAUCACGCAGAACGCCGAUUGCGAAGGCAGCGUGCCGUGCCGCCACUGACGCUGAGGCACGAAAGCGCGGGGAUCGAACAGG
rnacentral:rRNA from 1 species